CCGCCCGUCACAUCACGAAAGUGGAUUGUACUAGAAGUCUGCGCGCUAACCCGCAAGGGAGGCAGCGGCCCAAGGUAUGAUUCACGAUUGGGGUG
rnacentral:rRNA from 1 species